UACGGAGGGGGCGAGCGUUAUUUGGAAUUAUUGGGCGUAAAGGGCGCGUAGGCGGCUUGACAAGUCAAAGGUGAAAUCCCUCGGCUCAACUGAGGAACUGCCUUUGAAACUGUCUGGCUUGAGGCCGGGAGGGGGUAGCGGAAUUCCCAGUGUAGCGGUGAAAUGCGUAGAUAUUGGGAGGAACACCAGUGGCGAAGGCGGCUACCUGGACCGGUACUGACGCUGAUGCGCGAAAGCGUGGGUAGCAAACAGG
rnacentral:rRNA from 1 species